GGAGGAUUGGGUGAGUGGUUUAAACCAGCGGUUUACUAAACCGCCGGCGGGUAAAACCGCCCGUGAGUUCGAAUCUCACAUCCUCCG
rnacentral:tRNA from 1 species